UACGUAGGGUGCGAGCGUUAAUCGGAAUUACUGGGCGUAAAGCGUGCGCAGGCGGUUUUGUAAGCCAGAUGUGAAAUCCCCGGGCUCAACCUGGGAAUGGCAUUUGGGACUGCAAGGCUGGAGUUUGGCAGAGGAGACUGGAAUUCCUGGUGUAGCAGUGAAAUGCGUAGAUAUCAGGAGGAAUACCGAUGGCGAAGGCAGGUCUCUGGGCUAUAACUGACGCUCAUGCACGAAAGCGUGGGGAGCAAACGAGGAUUAC
rnacentral:rRNA from 1 species